UCAGCUUCUGUCUUGGAAAGUGGGCUCUGCCAGUAAGGCUAGAAUCUGGAGAAGGCUGUUGGAGAUAGGAGUAAAAGGUACCCGUGCUGUGAAGAGAGAAGAGUCUGCAAUGCCCAAUGCACGACUAGGCAGGAUCUGGAUGACAUUACAAUCAUUCAAGAUGAGACAGGAAAACAUUAGCGCAACGUUAGUUUGAAGGGGAAGGAAGGAAAACCCUGAAUAGGUUAAAACACAUGCAGAAGAAGAGUCAAAUGUAAUGCCAUCUCAUGUACUUCAGAGAACCCUCCGUGAUAUUCAUGAUGAAGAGGUCCUGUUAAUCCUACCAAAAAGAAACUUACUAAAGAUGCAAGUAAGUAGAAUUCAAAACAGACAUCUACCUCCACACCCAACUUCAUUGCAUGGAAUUGAAAUUCCAGAGGACUACAAAGUGACUAGACGUGGAGAACAAUUUUUUAUCCAUGAUUUCGGUGCUCAAGAUCAUGAAAGAAUUCUUAUUUACAGAACUUAGGACAGUAUUCGAUAUUUAAGUGCCAAUACCACAUUAUUCAGUGAUGGCACCAACACAGUUCACUCAGUUAUUUACUGUGCAUGGUAUAGUAUUGGGUUAUACUAUGCCAUUGACUUACACUUUACUAUGAAAAAGUGAAAAGAUACAGAUGUAUAUAUGUGAGGAAGUACCUUCACUUGCACGCGAAAGAAACCUCAACAUGAACACGUCAUUGUGCAUGAUGAAUUUUGAGAUUGCAAAUAUGAAUGUGAUUUGACUACUCCUACCAAAUGCACAGUAACAGGAUGUUUGUUUCACUUUUCACAAUCACUGUGGCGAAAAAUAUCUUCUUUAGGUCUAACACAAGUAUUUGACAAUGGAAAGUAACACCUGUAAGUGUGCAUCCAUGUUGUUUGGACUUUGAUCUGUGCCUUUGGAAGAUGUAAAUGAAACUUUUGAGUAUAUUGUGGAGAAUGCAGAAGAAAAUUUAGAUGAGCUAAUGGGCUGUGUUGAGAGAGUAUAUAUCAGUGGAAGGCAUGGCAGGGGCAAAAGAGGAUGAGAAGCUUCAAGAUUUCCACUAGAAACUCAAAAUAUUUAUACAGCAAUACUGAACAGUGGUCACAGGAUGAACAAUGCAGUGGAAGGCUGGUAUGGCAGAUUUCAAAAGCUGAUGGUAGUGCCUCAUCCUUCAAUUUGGAGAUAUUGGAGUGUUAAAAGAAACAGCAAAGCAAUGAACAAGUUAUCGCCCAGGUUCUGGGUGGUCACACUCAAAUAUGGCCACCAACUUCACAAUAGCAACAAAAUCAAAUUUGUAUAACAGAGAUUGUUAGCAGAUAUAUCGAAUGUAAAGCCAAUAAUCAGGUCAAUAUAUACUUGAGAGCAAUUGCUCGUCGACUUAAGAGUAACCCUGCCAAACUUCAUGACGAAGAAGAACAAAUGUGAAAUCCAGAAUUCAUCAUGAAUUACAUAAAAUAAU
rnacentral:lncRNA from 1 species